rnacentral:rRNA from 1 species
UAACUUUUUUUUUUUUUUUUUUUUUUUUUUUUUUUUUUUAAAGUUAUUUUUUAGUCAUUUCUUUCUUUUUUUUUGAUUUUUUCAAGAAUAGUUUAUUUGUACUGUGUAGGAUUAUUAAUUUUAUUGUAGAAUAAUAAUUUUUUUUAGUACCUUUUGUAUCAGGGUAAAUUAAAUUUUAAAAUUUAUUUUUUUUUCUCGAAAAUUUAAGAUUUAUCUAAUUUUGAAUUUUAAUGUUGCAAAAUUAUUUAGAAAAAUUAGAUAGAUUUGAAAUGAAAUUCGUUUAAUUUUAUAUCUAGUUAUUAUUUAAUUUGAUUAAAUCAAGGAAUUUUAUUUAUUUACUUCUUUUAUUAUUUAUAUAUUAAUUUCUAAAAUUAAGGUGGAUAAGCUCUUUAUUUUUAUAUAAUUAAAAAAAUUUUUUUUUUUGUUGGAUUAGAUUCUUUUAUCAUUUAAAGUUCGUUAAAGAUUAAAUAUUUUUUUUUUUAUUAUUUAUUUUUUUAAAUAAUUUUUUUAUUUAAUUUUUUUUAUUUUAAAAAUGAUUUAAUUAGUAAAAUUAAAAUUUAUUUUUAUGAAUUAGGCAAAUUUAAUUUUCGCCUGUUUAACAAAAACAUCUCUUUUUGAUUUUAUUUAAGGUUUAACCUGCUCAAUGAAGUUUAAAUAGCCGCGGUAAAUUAACUGUGCUAAGGUAGCAUAAUAAUUAGUCUUUUAAUUGAGGUCUGGAAUGAAUGGUUGAACGAAAAAUUUACUUUAUUUUUUGUAUUUUUUUGAAUUUUAUUUUUUAGUUAAAAAGCUUAAAUGAUAAAGAGGGACGAUAAGACCCUAUAGAUCUUAAAUUUAUUAAUUUAUUUAAUUUUUUUUGUUGUUUUUGAUUAUUUAUUUUAAUUAAUUUUAGUUGGGGCGAUGAAUAAAAUUUUAAUCUUUUUUUUUUUUUUACAUUAUGUUUGGAUAUUUGAUCUUUUUUUUUGAUUAAAAGAUAAAGAUACCUUAGGGAUAACAGCGUUAUUUAAUUGGAGAGUUCUUAUUGAUAAUUAAGUUUGCGACCUCGAUGUUGGAUUAAUAAUUUCUGUGGGGUAGGUUUCACAGUUUUAGGUCUGUUCGACCUUUAAAAUUUUACAUGAUCUGAGUUCAAACCGGUGUGAGCCAGGUUGGUUUCUAUCUUCUUUUUAAUAAUUCCAAUUGGUACGAAAGGAUUUUUGGAAAUAUAAAAUUUAUUA